rnacentral:rRNA from 1 species
GUUUGAUCCUGGCUCAGAAUUAACGCUGGCGGCAUGCGUAACACAUGCAAGUCGUACGAGAAAGCCCGGUUCGCCGGGCGAGUAAAGUGGCGCACGGGUGAGUAACGCGUGGGUAAUCUACCUCGGUCUGGGGGAUAACGCACCGAAAGGUACGCUAAUACCGCAUGACCCGGCAGUUCACUGGGACUGUCGGAAAAGGUGGCCUCUACAUGUAAGCUACCGAACCGAGAUGAGCCCGCGUCCUAUUAGCUUGUUGGUGGGGUAAAGGCCUACCAAGGCGACGAUGGGUAGCUGGUCUGAGAGGACGGCCAGCCACACUGGAACUGGUACACGGUCCAGACUCCUACGGGAGGCAGCAGUGAGGAAUAUUGCGCAAUGGGGGAAACCCUGACGCAGCGAUGCCGCGUGAGUGAAGAAGGCCUUCGGGUCGUAAAGCUCUGUCAAACGGGAAGAACAGCCUUGAGGUGAAUAUCCUCAGGGUGUGACGGUACCGUUGAAGGAAGCACCGGCUAACUCCGUGCCAGCAGCCGCGGUAA